rnacentral:tRNA from 15 species
GGUGAAGUGUCCGAGUGGCUUAAGGAGCACGCCUGGAAAGUGUGUAUACGUUUAUAGCGUAUCGAGGGUUCGAAUCCCUCUUUCACCGCCA